rnacentral:rRNA from 1 species
CUGGCGGCGUGCCUAACACAUGCAAGUCGAGCGAGGAGAUCCUCGGGAUGAUCCUAGCGGCGGACGGGUGAGUAACACGUGGGCAACCUGCCUCAUAGAGAGGAAUAGCCUUCCGAAAGGGAGAUUAAUACCUCAUAACAUUGCAGUUUCGCAUGGAACAGCAAUUAAGGAGUAAUCCGCUAUGAGAUGGGCCCGCGGCGCAUUAGCUAGUUGGUGAGGUAACGGCUCACCAAGGCGACGAUGCGUAGCCGACCUGAGAGGGUGAUCGGCCACAUUGGGACUGAGACACGGCCCAGACUCCUACGGGAGGCAGCAGUGGGGAAUAUUGCACAAUGGGGGAAACCCUGAUGCAAGCAACGCCGCGUGAGUGAUGACGGCCUUCGGGUUGUAAAGCUCUGUCUUCAGGGACGAUAAUGACGGUACCUGAGGAGGAAGCCACGGCUAACUACGUGCCAGCCGCUGC